rnacentral:rRNA from 1 species
CGCGUAGGUGGUUAAUUAAGUCAAAUGUGAAAUCCCCGAGCUUAACCUUGGGGCUGCAUUUGAUACGUGUAGACUAGAGUGUGAGAGAGGGUUGUGGAAUUCCCAGUGUAGAGGUGAAAUUCGUAGAUAUUGGGAAGAACACCGGUGGCGAAGGCGGCAACCUGGCUCAUUACUGACGCUGAGGCGCGAAAGCGUGGGGAGCAAACAGGAUUAGAUCCCCCCGUA